UAUGUUCUUGAAACUUAAAAAAUUUGGCGGUAUUUUAGUCUAUCCAGAGGAACCUGUUUUGUAAUCGAUAAUCCACGAUGGACCUUACUUAAGUUUGUAAUCAGUUUAUAUACCGUCGUUAUCAGAAUAUUUUAUAAGAAUAAAAAUAUUCAAUAAUUUAUAUUAAAAUUUAUAUCAGAUCAAGGUGUAGCUUAUAUUUAAGUAAUAAUGGGUUACAAUAAAAAUAUUUAAACGAAUAAAAUAAUGAAAAAAUUUUUGAAGGUGGAUUUGGUAGUAAAAUUAUAAAGAUUAAUAAUUUGAUUUUAGCUCUAAAAUAUGUACACAUCGCCCGUCGCUCUUAUUAUUAAGGUAAGAUAAGUCGUAACAUAGUAGAUGUACUGGAAAGUGUAUCUAGAAUGA
rnacentral:rRNA from 1 species